GUAUACGGCCAUACCACGUUGAAAACACCAGUUCUCGUCCGAUCACUGAAGUUAAGCAACGUCGGGCUCGGUUAGUACUUGGAUUGGUGACCGCCUGGGAACACCGAGCGCUGUAGACA
rfam:Lottia gigantea unplaced genomic scaffold LOTGIsca_22, whole genome shotgun sequence.